AACGCACAUUGCGCCCGCCGGCAUUCCGGCGGGCAUGCCUGUCCGAGCGUCAUUUCGACCCUCAAGCCCCCGGCUUGGUGUUGGGGGAGCGGCCGGCCCUCGCGCCGCCGCCCCCCGAAACGAAUCGGCGGUCUCGCCGCGGCCUCCCCUGCGCAGUACUGAAUACCUCGCACCGGAGCGCGGCGCGGCCACGGCCGCAAAACGCCCAACUUUCUCAAGAGUUGACCUCGGAUCAGGUAGGAAUACCCGCUGAACUUAA
rnacentral:misc_RNA from 1 species